rnacentral:sRNA from 1 species
AGCGGGAACUACUCGACCCACAGAGCCGAUCGCGGAGCGGAUUCUGCUUUUAGGAGUACCCGCCAACAAGCGGGACCGAGCAGGAAUCCGUAUCUGGGAACAGGUCCUGGAGUACAAUGCCAUUGGAGGCAAGUAUAACCGGGGUUUGACGGUGGUAGUAGCAUUCCGGGAGCUGGUGGAGCCAAGGAAACAGGAUGCUGAUAGUCUCCAGCGGGCCUGGACUGUGGGCUGGUGUGUGGAACUGCUGCAAGCUUUCUUCCUGGUGGCAGAUGACAUCAUGGAUUCAUCCCUUACCCGCCGGGGACAGAUCUGCUGGUAUCAGAAGCCAGGCGUGGGUUUGGAUGCCAUCAAUGAUGCUAACCUCCUGGAAGCAUGUAUCUACCGCCUGCUGAAGCUCUAUUGCCGGGAGCAGCCCUAUUACCUGAACCUGAUCGAGCUCUUCCUGCAGGUGUAUUGCAGACAGGGCCCGAUGCCCAGAGGGUGCUCAUGGUAGCCUUGGCCUCUAUAGGACAUGCUCAUCUAGCUGGUUUCAGGGUACAGGAUUGCAGCGUGCCUGGAAGGGAAAGAAAGCGAGGAAGGGUGUUGGGAAGUGGGGUUGUGGUAGUGGCAAGAAAGGGCUUCUCUGUCCUG